GCGGAGAACGGCCGACGAUGGCCCGCGAUGGGCCGGACGCCAUCCGCCGGGAAGCAGAGCUGGAGCACAGCCGUUACUUGGACCGCCGGGCCGUGGCCCAGGAGCAGCUGGCGCAAAUACAGGAGCACAAGCAUCAGGCAGAUCUGGCCAAGCUAGAAGACAAAAGAGAAGGGGAACAAAUACAGAGAUUGAACCAAUUGUACCAACUGGAAAUUCAGAGAGGAAAAGAAAAGGAACAGGAGGAAAAAGUUGAACGCCAGAGGGUGUAUCACGAGUAUGUAGCUCAACAGAAAGUAAUUAAAGAUGAAGAGAAAGAAAAAGAAGACAAAGAUGAUGAUCGGAUUAAGGCUUAUAUUAAAGGAAAAGAAACGAUGGCUGAUCUGAGAAGAGAAAAAAAUGCAGAGACUAAUAGGCUAACGCAGGAGUGCAAGGACAAAGCUUUUGAACAACUAACUGCACAGAUGAAUAGGGCAUGUAAGAUUGAAGAUGAUCGACUUGCUAGAGGAGCUGCAGAGGUAGAAGACGAAUACCAAAAGAAAACCAAAGAGACAGAAGAAAAAAAAAAGAGUGCCAUUGAAUCUAUUGCUGUACACAGAGCCACUGUGAUGAAGAUGAAAGAGGAAAAGGAGAGAGAGGAAAAAGCAGAGGAUGAGAAGGAUCAUAAUCAGUGGAUGACAGCAGAUCGUAUCUACUUGGAAAUGGAAAAAGCCAAGAAACAAAGACAACAUGAUGCAAGCAUGGAAGUACAGAAAAUUCAGAUCCAGCAAAUGGCUGAAAAGCAGGCAAAAAAACAGCAGGAAAAGCAAGCGGAUUUGGACUACGAUGCUCAGAGAGAAGCUGCUUUUCGUAACGAUCAAGCAUUUCGGCGAUAAAGACAAGGUUUUGCCCAGAAUAGCUGUAGCCUGGUGUCAGGGCUGAAUGCCCAUCACUGGUUGGAGCACGUCUUCCUGUUUAAGUUUCAUCCAGAAGGGUCCAGUUUGUGGUCGCUGUGUAAUGUGAACCAAAGCACAAAAUACAUCUGACAACUACAGAAGUAUCUACUAAGGAAUAAGAAGCUAGCCACUGCCUCCUUACAAGUUAUACGUGCCUGCAAAACCUAUCAGUGCCCAACAGCUGAAGCUAACUCUAGAGCAAGUUACAAGGCAUGCUGUUUGCCAGAACCUGCCUAUACUCAACUUCAGCUCAAGAAACAAGUACUGUAGCUACAGCCAUAGCUUGCAACUGUACCUGUAACUACUCUAGUUUUAUUAUGGAACAAAGCAGUAGAUUCACUUUCUAGGAAGUCAAGCAGUAACAACCAAAGGUAAACUAUCAAUUCAUCUGUACUGUACUCCGAGUAUUGCUGGGCCUCCAGGCUUAAUUCAAACCUUAUGUUUUGGCUUAAAAUUCUUACUGAGCAAACAAUAAAAUUGAGUAAGCUGUUUACAAGCAUCUGUCUGGAACAAUAAGAUCAAUAUGUUGAGUG